rnacentral:rRNA from 1 species
CCCUAUUAUAGCUAAUGUAAAUUUAAUUUUGAGUAGUAUAUGAUUGGGUCAGGAAACUUAAAGAAUUUGGCGGUUUACAUUCUAAUUAGAGGAAUAUGUUUUUUAAUUGAUAAUCCACAAAUAUCUUACUUAAAUUUAUUUAUUUUGUAUAUCUCCGUCUUAAAAAGAUUUUUUAAAAUAUUUUUUAUAUAUUAUAAUUUUAAAAAAGUCAGGUCAAGGUGCAGAUUAUAUUUAAGUUAAAAUGUAUUACAAUAAAUUUAUUUUUGGAGUAAUUUUGAAAAAAAAAUUAUAAAAUUGGAUUUAUAAGUAAAUUUUUUUAUAUAAUAAUUGAUUGAAGUAUGUUAAAGUAUAUACACACAUC